rnacentral:rRNA from 1 species
AAUGCCCGAAAGGGUGACGAAGCGACGCCGCGUGUGGGAAGAAGGCCUUCGGGUUGUAAACCACUGUCGGGAGUUAGGAAAUGCAGGUGCGUUGAUAGCGCACUUGCUUGACUAAGGCUCCAGAGGAAGCCACGGCUAACUCUGUGCCAGCAGACGCGGUAAUACAGGGGCGGCAAGCGUUGUUCGGAAUUAUUGGGCGUAAAGAGCACGUAGGCGGCCUUGCAAGUCAGUUGUGAAAGCCUUCCGCUUAACGGAAGAACGGCAUCUGAUACUACAGGGCUUGAGUACGGGAGGGGAGAGUGGAACUUCUGGUGGAGCGGUGAAAUGCGUAGAUAUCAGAAGGAACGCCGGCGGCGAAAGCGACUCUCUGGUCCGAAACUGACGCUGAGUGUGCGAAAGCUAGGGGAGCAAGCGGGAUUAGAUACCCCGGUAGUCCGAGCCGUAAACGAUGGGCA